AGUGUGUGUGUGUGUGUGUGUGUGUGUGUAGAUAUGUAUGUAUAUAUAGUACUUCUUGUCUGCACAGUUAGAUGUACAACUGCUACUGGUGAAUUUAAAGCCCCCAUGCAGAGUGUCAUUGCCAGUAAAGUGUCUAUUUCCUAUAAAUACUGCUGUAUUUAGUAGUAUUACUGGUUAUAAUAUACAGAACAAACGUAGAAAAAAGUACGAUAAACACAGGUGCAGUUUACACCAUUUAUACCGUGGCAUAUUUCAUCAUUGUGGCUAAUUGCAUCCUCUGCGGUGGGUGUUCAUAGUGAAAUUGGAUGCAGAUGCACAAUAGUCUAUCAAGGGAACACUUCAUUGCAUUACACAUCAAGCUUGUGUGUGUGUAUAAACACAUAUAUAGGGCUGGAUAUCCAAUGACCUCAAUGAUGAAAAUUUGGUGGUUCAAUCCACUGGGUUACCUGCUUCUUGAAUUAAGCGUGUUAAGUAGCUGAGUAUUCAACAAACAUGUAUAAUAAUGCAAUUCCCAGGCAGAAACAGCAUGGCAGUGUGAAACAAGUCUGUAUCCUUUUAAUUACAAGUGCAAUCAAUCUCAGAAGCUUCUAUACAGUUUCCAUCUACCCAGUUCAACAAGUUAUACAAAAUGAUAUUUGCUGAAGGUGCCAUGCAGUGGGAUCAAAUCUUGGAUUUUGUGGUCUUGAAGUGAACCUCUAAAUAAUUUAACCCAACAGCACCUACACACACACACACACACACACAAUCAUUAUUAUCAUCAUCAUUUUAAUGUGCACUUUUCAAUGUUUGCAUGGACUGGUCAGAAUUUGUUGAGGCAGAUUUUCUACAACCCAGUGUCAUUCCUGUCACCAACCCUUAGCUGUUCCCAAACAAGGUAAUAUUUCCCCAUGGCCAGACAUGUUUUUGCAGGAUAUUGGAAAUCAAUGACACUGCUUCUAUCACAGUGGACAUAAGAGCUGAAUUGAUGACUGUCGAACUGCAAAAUUUUCUUGGACAAUGAACUGUACAAAACAGAACCACCACCUAACAUCAUUAAUCUAAUUACAGAAGAGUUAUCAUAUUGCUAAUUUUUGCUACUUUUUACAAUUUCAAAGACACCUAUGCUUUUGAAAGACAGAACAAAACAAAAGAACAUGUCACAUCAUGUAACAGCACUUCCUACAUUAAGUGAAGACAAGAAUGACAUCACAGUAAAAAUACGGCAAAAUAUUUUACCAUUGUGAAGCUAAAGCAACAAAUUUUAAAAUAGGAACAUUUCUUAAAUUAACUCAAAAUAACAACAUUACCAAAUGGCUGAAGAGUGCUAUAAACUGUUUAUUGGACUCUAAUCAUUGAGGAGUACCACCUUCAGAGGUUUUAGUCAAACAAAUCAAUCCCAGAACCUUUUUCUAAAAUUUGGUACUUAUUCUACUGGUUAUUUUUUUGCUUAACCUCUAAGUUACAGGGAUGUAAACAAACCAACAUUAGUUGUCAAAACAGUAGUGGGGGGGGGAUUGCAAUCGCAAAAAAGGACACACAUCUACACAUACAUAUAUAUAGAUACAUAUAUAUUAACUAAAAAUAUACAUGAUCAUUAAUAUUCUUCAAACUAAAUAACAGCUGGCUCAUACAGUCUAAGUUUCCAUCCAUCCACUCAUCUUCUCUGCCCAAUAUUCCAAGGAAGAUUGAGAGGAUAGAAUUCUCAGGCACCUCCUCCAUAGGGUCCCGUCAGAAAGAACUAUCAUAACACUGCCCUGCUGGAUUCUCAAAUAUGACCAACUGUGACUAUGGGUAUUCUUUUCUACUCUAGGAACAAGGCCCGAAAUUUUGGAGGAGGGGGCCAGUUGAUUAGAUCGACCCCAGUACGCAACUGGUACUUAAUUUAUCGACCCCCGAAAGGAUGAAAGGCAAAGUCGACCUCAGCGGAAUUUGAACACAGAAUAUAAAGACAGACGAAAUACCACCAAGUAUUUUGCCCUGCAUGCUAACGUUUCUGCCAGCUCACCGCUUUUGUGACUAUGGAUAUUAAUGAAUCAUCUUGCUUCUGGUCUACCCCUAAGUUUGUCAAGUAAUAUUUCACCAAUCAGUGACAUGUUAACAACAUAUUUUUUUUACAAGAAGAAAAGAAAGAAAAAAAGCAUUAAUAGUAUAAAAGAUCAAAUAACUGAGAAAAUAACCCACAAGUACCCUCACCAUAAAAACAAAAAAAGGGGGAGGGGGGAAUUAAGCAGCCGAAGAUGGUGGGUGGGAGUAACAGUUUGUUCACCCCAGAACAAAUGGCAUGUUUAGCCACACCUAGCAGACAUGAUUGCAAAGGUGAUGCCACAGGGAAUGGCCAGUGACACUUGCUGCAGCAGCCACCCCCACCUUGCAGGGCUCGUUUCUCAGACAUUCCACACUUAUCCCAAUUUUGUGGAGGAAAUCAGCAGUGCAGAGUUCAAGAACACCUGAAGUCUCCACAGGUGACUAGCUGAAUUUGUUUUCUCAUUCUCUGUUCUAUUUCAAAACUAUGCAACUAUGUAUCGAAACGAAACAUUGACAAAAUCCAGCAUCCAGUGGAUGAAUCAACACCAUUCCAGCUUGAUAAUACAACACAAUCUUAAAACCCCAAAUUCUUCCAUCAGAUCUAAACCAACACAAAACACAAUCAUUCAUCAAAAUUAAUCAUGACAUUUCAGCCUUUGAACUGGGCUGCCUAUAAUCUCAAUUUACAAGAAACUAAACUUGACACAUAUCAACUUCACAAAUAUCCGGUGUAACUGCUACAAGAGUUUUCAAUUACAUUUGCUUAAACUAGAGAUCAAAACAAAGGCAUUAUGAUCUACUAUACUCACACAAGAAACUAUGUAUGGUAAUAUAUGUAAGAUAUACCAGAUGUUCUAAGACCAGAUAGUAACAUAUUUUAUACCUAGAAGUUGAACCAACAGGCUUUAGGUAAGUAGUUGAGUGGUUAAUUCUGAGUUAUCAUUUUCUGUAACCAGAAAAGACUGAGGCUACCCAUCGCAACAGUAACAGCUAUUUUGAUGAAUCUUGUCACUUAUUUGCAGAUGUUUUCAAUAGACACAGGUGUGACUGUGUGGUUAAGAAGUUCGCUUCCUAACUGCAUGGUUCUGGGUUCAGACCCACUGUGAGGCACCUUGGAUAAGCAUCUUCUACUUUUGUCCCAAGCCAACCAAAGCCUUGUGAGUGGAUUUGGUAGAAAGAAGCUGAAAGAAAGCCAUUGUGUGUGGGUGUGUAUGUAUGUAUGUAUAUAUAUAUAUUUCAUGCUGGACCGCUGAAAUCUACAAUUUUUUUCAUUCUCUCUCUGUUUAUUUUCUCUUAUUCCUUUCUGUUGAAUUGCAUAGGAUUGAAACAUAAAAGACUUCUUCAUUUUCCUGAGUGUCAAACUAAUAUACUUGCUUGUUAUUCAUACACCUGUUUUCAUCUUUUGUCUUUCAAUAAAUUUCAACUAUAUAUAUAAAUAAAUACAAACACACGAAUGUGUAUGUUUAGAUAGUUGCAUAAUAGUUGUAAAUGAGCGCCACUGUUAUACAAGCAGUGGCAUUUGUUUCCAAUAUUCUGCAAACACAUGCCAGGCAACAGGGAAAUAUUUUCUUGCUUGGAAACAAGUAAAGGUUGGCAACAGGAAAGGCAUGCAGCAAUAGAAAAUGUUCUCCCAGUAAACUUUGCCCGACUCAUGCAAGCAUAGAAAAGUGAAUGUUAUGAUGAUGAUGAUGAUGAUGAUGGUCUACUUUAAUUAUAAUACCAAUGUAAUUAAUUUAUUCUCUUCAAAUUCAUAUAUUUGAAUAAGCAUGUCUAUAUUAAUGCAAUGUUAUGUUAAUCACCCCUAACGAAAAACUCAGGGUAGGUCAAAUAAACUAAGUACGAUAAUUAACAUGCACCACACGAAAGAGACAAUACAAUGUUACCAAACAGUAAUUUUCAGAACAGUAGUGCAGAAAUUUAAUUAUUCACCCCACUGUGCUUCCAUAGUUGAACAGAAAAUUUUCUUUUUUAAAUGAAACAAUAAACAUCAAGUAACCUUUAUUAACCCUUUUGUUACCAUAUUUCUGUGGAAAUACACUAUCUUUGUUUCAAUUAAUUUGGAAAAUAAUUAAGAAUUUAAUAAAUUAAUUAAGAAUUUAGUAAAAUAACUGUCAUUAUUAAGCUGGUGUUUGGAACUUAAAUUAACAGGAAAUUUUGAUGGAAUGUUUUCAUUUGGAUCACUUUAAAACAGGAAGUUUGCAUCAUAGAUCCAGGGGCAUUCUUGGGCAGGAGGUUGAUAAUGAAAGGGUUAAGAUUAAGAAUGGAGAUUGCUAUGACUUGCUAUAUUAGGCACUAAAGGCAAUUUACAAGAAUCUGCAUUCACUAAGUUGGCAAAGGAAAAUUUCAGAUGAAUUUUGCAUCUAAAAUCUAUAAUGAUAUCAACAGUCAAAAUGCAGGUAGUAUCUAGAUAACUAUUUGAAUCUUUAAUUUGAAAAAGGGCUGUCAAAUUUCCAGAAAAUGCAUUUGUUGUGUGAAUAAGUGAGGCAUAGUUCAGUUCUUGUCAAGGAGGCUCAUUUUUGAAGGUUAUAGCUUAAAAAUGUCUACUGAUUAUCAAAAUGUCCGUAUGAAAAAAAUCUAAGGUAUUAUUUAUUUAUGAUAUAUUAUACAUCUUAAUAUACAGAAAGCCAAGUCACAUGUUCAUUACAUUUGAGUGUAGCAUUCUCUCUUUCUUUCACACUGGAAAGAGAAAGCAGUGGCUGUGCUAAGAGAAGGGAAAGAGGGAACCAGAUCAAUGAUACUAGAUAGACAGGUAGGAGAUUAACAAAUAUGGAGGGAGAAAAAUGAAAUGACCAGAAGUUGAUGGUGAGACAGGCAGUCAUGUGAGCAGACAGUGCAAUAAAGAAAGGAAUGGAAAAAGAGAAGGUAAAAAAAAAAUAGAGCUCUACAAUAGAAAGAAUGAUAGGAAAACAAUGGAGAGAAUGACAGUAAUAGAAAAUUUUUGUAUGUGUGGGAGGGACAUGGGAAACUGAAGAGAAGAGGUGGAGGCACAGUAGAUUUCCAUUAAGACAAAAAGUGAAAGCAAUAUAUAGAUGGAGAGGAAGAGAAGAUAUAAUGAUGUAUGUAAAUUAUACAGUAAAAAUAACAAAAAAGAGAAAUACAUCAAAAGAUAAAGGCUUGAUUUUUGAUGGGUGCUACAUUAGCAAAAAUAUAACUUUUACAAGAAGUGGGGAGACAGUGAUUUAAAAGUUUCAGCCUGCUGGACUAAUGACGGCUAGCAAACUGAAACUAUGAAGUCACUGUCACCUCCUCUUCCUGUAAAAGUUCAAUAAACAUGUACUCUACUGAAAGUAUUGAGUAACUCCUCAAUUUAAUGUUAAAUUGUCUUUAUAUAUAACUUGAUAUAAAAACAACAUAUGUGUGUGAGCGUGUAGAGGGGGAGAGAGAGGGAAAGAAAGAGAUAAGUGAAGAGAUGGACAAACAUAAGAUAUAAGAAAGAAUUCAAUAACUGGAUGCAUGUUCUAACUCAUGCUUUGCCUCUCACAAACCCAAAUUGCUUUAGUAAUUUAAACUAGGAUAGAGUAGUUAGUAUAGGAGUAAGGAACAUACACACACACACACACACACACGAUAUAUCUAGUCACCUUCCCAUUCAUUCAUAUUCCUACUACUGCUACAACAAUUCUAUUGAUGAUAGUGGUGAUGAUGCUAAUACCGUCCCUCUCUCCUUCACACACAGUGUUAGUAAAUUGCUUUCAGGUGAAUCUUCAAUAGAUAAUUUUCUCUGAAACCUUGCAAAGUGGAAUAUAUUAAAAUAAACCAUUAGAUUUCUUGUUCAGUUUUUAAACUUAAUACGCAGAAAAUGUAUUUAUUUAUUCAUUUCUGUGCAGAGAGCCAAGUCCAUUUCUGAAACACAUAGUCAAGGCUAUAAUUUAUGAGAGUGAGCCAGCUGUCCAACCAGGUUUGCUUUGUGAGGAAGAGAGGACAGACAGACAGACAGACUGACAGAGUGAGUGAGAGAGAAAGAAAGAGAGAAAGUAUUUGUAAAUGAAAAAUUCAUAUGAGUGAGCAUGAGAGAAAGUGUGUGUGCAUAUGUAUGUGUAUAUAUAUAUAUAUAUAUAUAUAUAUAUAGAUAGAUAUAUAUAUGUGUGGUUGUGAGUGUAAAUGAUUUUAUAUAUAGUUAUAGAUAAAACAGUCAAAUUUUUAUUUGAAGGAGCACUCAAUAACUUUAAACAGAAUAACAAAUGUAUGUAUUUAUUCUUUCCCUGGUUUCAGUCAUUAGACUGUGGGCAUACUGGAGCAACAUUUCUUUUUCUUUUUUUUAAUUUAUCACAACCACCCAUGUAUUUAUAUAAGUCUGGUACAUAUUUUAUCAAUCGCUAUUUGUCAAACUGCUAAGAUACAUUGAUGUACAUUUGAGUAAAAUCAUUUGAUGAAAAAAAAAAUGAAACUAA